UAAGGAAUAUUGGUCAAUGCCCGCAAGGGUGAACCAGCCAUUCCGCGUGGAGGAUGAAGGCCCUAUGGGUUGUAAACUUCUUUUAGAUGGGAAGAAAAUGCUAGAUUUUUCUGGUACUGACGGUACCAUCAGAAUAAGCACCGGCUAACUCCGUGCCAGCAGCCGCGGUAAUACGGAGGGUGCGAGCGUUAUCCGGAAUUACUGGGUUUAAAGGGUGCGUAGGCGGAUGAUUAAGUCUAAGGUGAAAGUUUGUCGCUUAACGAUAAAAUUGCCUUGGAUACUGGUUAUCUUGAAUAAGGAUGAGGAUGGCGGAAUGUGGCAUGUAGCGGUGAAAUGCAUAGAUAUGCCAUAGAACACCAAUUGCGAAGGCAGCUAUCUGGUCUUUUAUUGACGCUGAGGC
rnacentral:rRNA from 1 species